rnacentral:rRNA from 1 species
GAUUAACGCUGGCGGCAUGCCUAAUACAUGCAAGUCGAACGGAAGCAGCAAUGCUUUAGUGGCGAACGGGUGAGUAACACGUAGGGAACCUACCUAUACGACGAGGAUAACUACUGGAAACGGUAGCUAAAACUGGAUAGGAUCAAUUGAGGCAUCUUGAUUGAUUUAAAGAUCCUUCGGGAUUACGUAGAGAUGGCCCUGCGGCGCAUUAGCUAGUUGGUGAGGUAACGGCUCACCAAGGCGACGAUGCGUAGCCGACCUGAGAGGGUGAUCGGCCACAUUGGAACUGAGACACGGUCCAGACUCCUACGGGAGGCAGCAGUAGGGAAUUUUCGGCAAUGGGGGAAACCCGUGACCGAGCAACGCCGCGUGAGUGAUGAAGGCCCUAGGGUUGUAAAGCUCUUUUCAACGGUGAAGAUAAUGACGGUACCAUAGGAGGAA